rnacentral:rRNA from 1 species
UAAGGAAUAUUGCUCAAUGGGAGAAAUCCUGAAGCAGCAACGCCGCGUGGAGGAUGAAGGGCUUUCAGCUUGUAAACUCCUGUAAAGAAGGAAAAAAUUCCCAUUAGAUGGGAAAUGAUGGUACUUCUAAAGUAAGCCCCGGCUAACUACGUGCCAGCAGCCGCGGUAAUACGUAGGGGGCAAGCGUUGUCCGGAUUUACUGGGUGUAAAGGGUGCUCAGGCGGAUUUGUAAGUCAGAGGUGAAAUCUCACAGCUUAACUGUGAAACUGCCUUUGAUACUGCAAGUCUAGAGUAUGGAAGAGAGUGAUGGAAUGUCUGGUGUAGCAGUGAAAUGCGUAGAUAUCAGGAGGAACACCGGUGGCGAAGGCGACUUUCUGGCCCUAUACUGACGCUGAGACGCGAGAGCGUGGGUAGCAAACA